UACGGAGGAUGCAAGCGGUUAUCCGGAAUGAUUGGGCGUAAAGCGUCCGGCAGGUGGCUAUGUAAGUCUGCUGUUAAAGAGUGAGGCUCAACCUCAUAAAAGCAGUGGAAACUACAUGGCUAGAGUGCGUUCGGGGCAGAGGGAAUUCCUGGUGUAGCGGUGAAUGACGUAGAUAUCAGGAAGAACACCGGUGGCGAAGGCGAGUCCCUGGACGAUACCUGACACUGAGGCACGAAAGCCAAGGGAGGCGAAAACAGG
rnacentral:rRNA from 1 species